GAUGAACGCUGGCGGCGUGCCUAAUACAUGCAAGUCGAGCGAAUGGAUUAAGAGCUUGCUCUUAUGAAGUUAGCGGCGGACGGGUGAGUAACACGUGGGUAACCUGCCCAUAAGACUGGGAUAACUCCGGGAAACCGGGGCUAAUACCGGAUAACAUUUUGAACCGCAUGGUUCGACAUUGAAAGGCGGCUUCGGCUGUCACUUAUGGAUGGACCCGCGUCGCAUUAGCUAGUUGGUGAGGUAACGGCUCACCAAGGCAACGAGGCGUAGCCGAGCUGAGAGGGUGCUCGGCCACACUGGGACUGAGACACGGCCCAGACUCCUACGGGAGGCAGCAGUAGGGAAUCUUCCGCAAUGGACGAAAGUCUGACGGAGCAACGCCGCGUGAGUGAUGAAGGCUUUCGGGUCGUAAAACUCUGUUGUUAGGGAAGAACAAGUGCUAGUUGAAUAAGCUGGCACCUUGACGGUACCUAACCAGAAAGCCACGGCUAACUACGUGCCAGCAGCCGCCGCCG
rnacentral:rRNA from 1 species